CCUGGCUCAGAACGAACGCUGGCGGCGUGGAUUAGGCAUGCAAGUCGAACGUGAAGGGACCGCAAGGUUCCGUAAAGUGGCAAACGGGUGAGUAACGCGUGGGAAACCUACCUUUAUGUUGGGGAUAACACUCCUAACGGAGUGCUAAUACCGAAUGAGAUCAUGGGGUCGCAUGGCCCUAUGAUGAAAGGCGGCCUCUGUUUACAAGCUGUCACAUGAAGAUGGUCCCGCGUCCCAUUAGCUAGUUGGUGGGGUAACGGCCUACCAAGGCAGUGAUGGGUAGCCGGCCUUAGCGGGUGUCCGGCCACACUGGGAUUGAGAUACGGCCCAGACUCCUACGGGAGGCAGCAGUCGAGAGGCUUCUACAACGGGGGAAACCCUGAUAGAGCGACGCCGCGUGGGCGAUGAAGGUCUUCGGAUCGU
rnacentral:rRNA from 1 species